rnacentral:lncRNA from 1 species
CGGCUCCAUCUUUGCCUGCUGCACAUACACAUUUCAUGUUCAAGGGUCAUUCAGACCCCACCCCAGUCUCUCCUCUUUCCAGACUUCCACCAGCUCGAGGCUAUGGUGUGUAACAGACUUUGCUGACAUCCUAACGACAUCAAAGCCUUCUACCCAACAGAGCCAACACCUAAACCUGUAGGAGUCCGCACAGCCUUCCCACCUCCGGGGACGGCUCAUCUUCCUCUCCUCCAUGUGGGCUCCGGCACCCACCUUCUUGCUCCUCUCUCCCCAGCUUCCAGCCCCUAGAGUGCUUGUUCAUCUCCCUUGAAGAGUACUUUAGCUAUCUCUUUGUCUCAUUUCUAGCCCAUUUCUGCUUUGCCUGGAGGGAGAGCUUUCCCCUACCUAGGUAUCUCAUCAAGAGGUUUUGCUCAACAAAAGCUCUUGCCUAAAGGAAAACGAAUUCUGCCCCAGAUUGUUUGUUUGUUUUUUUCUCCUCACUACAUAAACAGACUUAAGGAACAUUUUGAAAGCAGACAUUCAUAUUGUGGAAUGUUCCUUUUCUGGUAACUGACCUUGGAGGGAUUAUCUCACCCCUUGCUACUCCAAGUGUGAUCCAUGAACCAGCAACGUCAGCACCAAUUGGGAGUUUAUUAUUAGAAGCAGAAUCUCAGCCCAGCCCAGACCUACUGAGUAAGGAUCUGCAUUUUAACAGAUCCCCAGGCAAUAAGCCUCCUGGCUCAGCCCUGGAGAUGGGAAGUGGCAAAGAAGUACGGUUUAAAGUGGGAAGCAAAAUGACUGUAGGCAUAAAGCUGGUGAAAUGGGAUCCCCACACAACUGUAACGAUGAAAACUCCUCUGAGAGUGGAGGUAAGUAUGGUUUUGGGGUUGGGGUGAGACCCCAAGGCAGCAGGACACUUGAGCGCCACUAAAUUGUGGCUUAACUGUCUUCUAGAAACGCAGGUUCCUGUUACUUCCAAGAACUUUUGUUUUGCUGAGUGGUUUAUGCAAAUGUGGAGCCUCUGGGUGGCCCACAGGGUGGUGAAGUACAGAGGGAACGGGCACUCCUUCUCAGCCACCCCAGAGGGCUCCCUGGUGCCUUUUCCCAGUCAAUCCUCAUCACCAGAUUCAUUUAGCCU